rnacentral:rRNA from 1 species
GAUCCUGGCUCAGAAUCAACGCUGGCGGCGUGCCUAAUACAUGCAAGUCGAACGCGAAAGCCCCGCAAGGGGCAAGUAGAGUGGCAAACGGGUGAGUAACGCGUGGGCGACCUACCUUCGAGUGGGGGAUAACCUUCCGAAAGGAGGGCUAAUACCGCAUGACAUCCCGUGUUUGGAUACACGGACAUCAAAGCUGGGGAUCGCAAGACCUGGCGCUUGGAGAGGGGCCCGCGUCCGAUUAGCUAGUUGGUGGGGUAACGGCUCACCAAGGCUUCGAUCGGUAUCCGGCCUGAGAGGGCGGACGGACACACUGGGACUGAGACACGGCCCAGACUCCUACGGGAGGCAGCAGUAGGGAAUUGUUCGCAAUGGGCGCAAGCCUGACGACGCAACGCCGCGUGGAGGAUGAAGACCUUCGGGUCGUAAACUCCUUUCGACCGAGAUGAAUACUCGCCGACCUAAUACGUUGGCGAGCUGACAGUAUCGAGGGAAGAAGCCCCGGCUAACUCCGUGCCAGCAGCCGCGGUAAUACGGGGGGGGCAAGCGUUGUUCGGAAUUACUGGGCGUAAAGGGUUCGUAGGUGGCUUACUAAGUCAGACGUGAAAUCCCUCAGCUUAACUGGGGAACUGCGUCUGAGACUGGUCGGCUUGAGUGCAGGAGAGGAACGCGGAAUUCCAGGUGUAGCGGUGA